GACGAACGCUGGCGGCGUGCUUAACACAUGCAAGUCGAACGGUGAAGCCUUCGGGUGGAUCAGUGGCGAACGGGUGAGUAACACGUGAGCAAUCUGCCCUUGACUCUGGGAUAACUUCGGGAAACCGGAGCUAAUACCGGAUAUGACAUCUGGCCGCAUGGUCUGGGUGUGGAAAGAUUUAUCGGUCAAGGAUGAGCUCGCGGCCUAUCAGCUUG
rnacentral:rRNA from 1 species